rnacentral:rRNA from 1 species
GCUCGUAGUUGGAUUUCGGUUGAGAACGGCCGGUCCGCCGUUUGGUGUGCACUGGCUGGUCUCAACUUCCUGUAGAGGACGCGCUCUGGGUUAACGCUCGGACGCGGAGUCUACGUGGUUACUUUGAAAAAAUUAGAGUGUUCAAAGCGGGCUUACGCUUGAAUAUUUCAGCAUGGAAUAACACUAUAGGACUCCUGUCCUAUUUCGUUGGUCUCGGGACGGGAGUAAUGAUUAAGAGGAACAGUUGGGGGCAUUCGUAUUUCAUUGUCAGAGGUGAAAUUCUUGGAUUUAUGAAAGACGAACUUCUGCGAAAGCAUUUGCCAAGGAUGUUUUCAUUAAUCAAGAACGAAAGUUGGGGGCUCGAAGAUGAUUAGAUACCAUCCUAGUCUCAACCAUAAACGAUGCCGACUAGGGAUUGCAGGAUGUUAAUUGAUGACUCCUGCAGCACCUUAUGAGAAAUCAAAGUUUUUGGGUUCCGGGGGGGAGUAUGGUCGCAAGGCUGAAACUUAAAGGAAUUGACGGAAGGGCACCACCAGGCGUGGAGCCU